ACAAAAUAUCAAAUGUUAAAAAUGAUUACAGUGAUAGACUGGAUGGCAUGGUCUGAACCCUUCUUGUACCAGGCAUAUAUCUGGUUGCCUUCUGUUCCAUCAUUAAGAUUAACAACAACACAGGUAUAACUCUGUUCCUCAAGACUUUCCUCUUCCUCGUGGUUAGUGGAGACAUCCAGGAGAUUGAUGCUUUGGGACUGUGUUAGAGAAUGACGAUACCAAAGAAAGACAAAGCGUCCUCCUGCAUCUCGAUUCACAGUUUCAUCCACACGGGUGUAGCCAUGGGAAAAAUACUUGUUAUCAAAUGCAAAAGAGGUAGUUGCCUUUAUUCUCAGAGAUGUACAUUUUCUUCUCUUUCUUCACCCAAACAUGGAUCCAGUUGCUUUUAGCUUUGCGAUUCAGGUCACACGCCAGUCGUUCCCAGCCAUUCUGGUAAUUUUGGGCUUCAUCUGUUGCAUCUGUGGUGACCUUAAGAUCCACUAUAGGGGUUGUCAUACUCAGUUGUACCGUUGUAGUACCAGAGAAAGAUGUAAUCUCCUCCAGCCCCAGCGUUGAGGUCUCUAUCCACCUUAUGGUAACCUGCGUUUUGUGAGAAAAAUGUCUGAUGCAACAAUCCUUCUGAUCACAUGUCACUUUUCAGAUGCCGAGGUUGCUCUUCAGCCAGUCACAGAAGAGGUGGUGGUCCCAUCCACCAAUGGGGUGUCAGAUGAGAAGGAAGUGUUGGAACACAAUGGGACAGAACGAUCCGUGAGUCCACCGGGAAGAGACGAAGAAGGUUUUCCAGAAUUGGCUGUUUGUCAUUUGGAAGAAGAGGAGGAAGAGGAGGACAUGUUGAAGAGAAUGAAGAACAGGAGAUAAUAGAGAAUGGAAAAGAAGUACGGCAAGCCUACUCAACAGACUCAUGUUGGCUCACAGAAGAUGUGUAGAUGGAACAAAGCCUCAAAAAAUGUGACAUUUCACACAGACAGGGGUUCUUUGUGAUCAU